GAGGGAUAGCGUCUGGAAACGGACGAUAAUACCUCAUAAUCCGGAAACGGCAAAGGCGCAUCGGGGGAGACCCUGGUGCGUCGCUUGAGGAGCGGCCUACAUCAGAUUAGGUAGUUGGUAGGGUAAUAGCCUACCAAGCCUAUGAUCUGUAGCUGAUUUGAGAGGAUGAUCAGCCACACUGGGACUGAGACACGGCCCAGACUCCUACGGGAGGCAGCAGUGGGGAAUAUUGGACAAUGGGGGAAACCCUGAUCCAGCGAUGCCGCGUGAGUGAUGAAGGCCUUCGGGUUGUAAAGCUCUUUUAUUGGGGAAGAAAUAAGACGGUACCCAAGGAAUAAGCCCCGGCUAACUUCGUGCCAGCAGCCGCGGUAAUACGAAGGGGGCUAGCGUUGUUCGGAAUUAUUGGGCGUAAAGGGCGUGUAGGCGGUCUUGCGCGUUAGGUGUGAAAUCCCAGGGCUCAACCUUGGAACUGCAUCUAAUACGGCAAGUCUAGAGUGCGAGAGGGUGGAGCGGAAUGGCGAGUGGAGCAGUAAAAUGCGUUGAUAUUCGCUAGAACACCGGGGGCGAAGGCGGCUCCAUGGCUCGUAACUGACGCUAAGACGCGAAGGCGUGGGGAGCAAACAGGAUUAGAUACCCUGGUAGUCCACGCUGUAAACGAUGAAUGCUAGAUGUUGGUCAGAUUGCUGAUCAGUGUCGUCGCUAACGCAAUAAGCAUUCCGCCUGGGGAGUACGGUCGCAAGAUUAAAACUCAAAGAAAUUGACGGGGGCCCGCACAAGCGGUGGGGUAUGUGGUUUAAUUCGAAGCUACGCGUAGAACCUUACCAGCUCUUGACAUGGAGGUCGUACGGCUAGGAGACUAGCUGGUCAAUUCGGUUGGACCUCACACAGGUGCUGCAUGGUUGUCGUCAGUUCGUGUCGUGAGAUGUUGGGUUAAGUCCCUUAACGAACGCAACCCUUAUCGUUUGUUGCCAUCAUUAAGUUGGGCACUCAAACGAGACCGCCGAUUUUAAGUCGGAGGAAGGUGGGGAUGACGUCAAAUCAUCAUGGCCCUUAUGGGCUGGGCUACACACGUACUACAAUGGCAGUGACAAUGAGCAGCAAAGGGGCGACCUGGAGCGAAUCGUUAAACACUGCCUCAGUUCGGAUUGUUCUCUGCAACUCGAGAACAUGAAUGUUAGAAUCGCUAGUAAUCGUAGAUCAGCGUGCUACGGUGAAUACGUUCCCGGGCCUUGUACACACUGCCCGUCACAUCAUGGGAGUUGGUUUUGCCUUAAGGCGGUGUACUAACCACGUAAGUGGAAGGAACCGACUACGGCGGGGUCGAUGACUGGGAUGAAGUCGUAACAAGGUA
rnacentral:rRNA from 1 species